GAUGAACGCUGACAGAAUGCUUAACACAUGCAAGUCUUUGGCGAAGCUGUGCUUGCACAGCCUAGCCAAGGCGGACGGGUGAGUAACGCGUAAGGAACUUGCCCUGCAGUCAGGGAUAACAGACGGAAACGACUGAUAAGACCUGGUAAAGUCAGGCGGACUCAUGUCCAGCCUGAUGAAAAGAGAUGCUGCAGGAGAGCCUUGCGUCCUAUUAGCUUGUUGGUGGGGUAACGGCCCACCAAGGCGAUGAUAGGUAGCCGGCCUGAGAGGGUGGACGGCCACAAGGGGACUGAGAUACGGCCCUUACUCCUACGGGAGGCAGCAGUGGGGAAUAGUGGACAAUGGGGGCAACCCUGAUCAAGCAAUUCUGUGUGCACGAUGAAGGUUUUCGGAGUGUAAAGUGCUUUCAGCAGGGAAGAAAAAAAUGACGGUACCUGCAGAAGAAGCGACGGCUAAAUACGUG
rnacentral:rRNA from 1 species